rnacentral:rRNA from 1 species
UGGAGGAAAGCAGGGGAUCGUAAGACCUUGCGCUUUUGGAGCGGCCGAUGUCUGAUUAGCUAGUUGGUGGGGUAAUGGCCUACCAAAGCUUCGAUCAGUAGCUGGUCUGAGAGGACGGCCAGCCACACUGGGACUGAGACACGGCCCAGACUCCUACGGGAGGCAGCAGUGGGGAAUUUUGGACAAUGGGCGCAAGCCUAAUCCAGCCAUGCCGCGUGAGUGAAGAAGGCCUUCGGGUUGUAAAGCUCUUUCAGCCGGGAAGAAAAGGCUGCGACUAAUAAUCGCAGUUCAUGACGGUACCGGAAGAAGAAGCACCGGCUAACUACGUGCCAGCAGCCGCGGUAAUACGUAGGGUGCGAGCGUUAAUCGGAAUUACUGGGCGUAAAGGGUGCGCAGGCGGUCUUGUAAGUCAGAUGUGA